CUCAGAAUGAACGCUAGCGAUAGGCCUAACACAUGCAAGUUGAACGCAUACUACAGGGUAUGAGUGGCAGGCGGGUGAGUAACGCGUGAGGAUAUCUACCUUACAAUUCGGCACAAAUCUCUGUAUAGAGUGUGUUCUUUAUACAUGAAUGAAUUCCGAAUAUUUUUGAAAGGCUAAGAACCGUUGUAAGAUGAGCUCGCGUAGGAUUAGGUAGUUGGUAAGGUAAAAGCUUAUCCAAGCCGAUGAUCCUUAGCUGGUCUGAGAGGAUGAUCAGCCACACUGGGACUGAGACACGGCCCAGACGCUUUCGAGCGGCAGCAGUGAGGAAUUUUGGACAAUGGGCGAAAGCCUGAUCCAGCUAUAUCGCAUGAAUGAAGAAGGCUCAAUUGGUUGUAAAAUUCAUAUUUUCAUUUAAGAUUA
rnacentral:rRNA from 1 species